UCGGCUCCUGGACGGCAAAACGUCGGACAUCACGCUGAGCUAAAGAGCACACCUGCGACAACACCCACGCAAGUCGUUGCGGCCGCACGUUCGCUCGUUCCAACAAGGGGAGCGGCUGACCCUGUGUAAACACAGCGCCCUGUAUGCAUUACAAUGAAAACAAGCAAGCUCCCGUCGUUACGUCUCGCGCAGGAGAGGGCUCGCGGACAGCAGCAGCAGAGGGAGAGAGAGAGCAAACUGUGAGCGCUGAUGGGAGACAGCGUCUCGGGCCUGCUGUGGAUUCAUCAGUCGGGUA